GAGUUUGAUCCUGGCUCAGGACGAACGCUGGCGGCGUGCCUAACGCAUGCAAGUCGAACGCAGCAGGCGUGCCUGGCUGCGUGGCGAACGGCUGAGGAACGCGUGGGUAACCUGCCCCGGAGUGGGGGAUACCCCGUCGAAAGACGGGACAAUCCCGCAUACGCUCUUUGGAGGAAAGCUAUACGGCGCUCUGGGAGGGGCCUGCGGCCCAUCAGGUAGUUGGUGUGGUAACGGCGCACCAAGCCAAUGACGGGUACCCGGUCUGAGAGGACGACCGGGCAGACUGGGAGUGCGACACGGCCCAGACUCCUACGGGAGGCAGCAGCAAGGAAUUUUCCCCAAUGGGCGCAAGCCUGAGGGAGCAACGCCGCGUGGAGGACGACGGCCUUCGGGUUGUAAACUCCUUUCGGGUGGGACGAGCCUGACGGUACCACCAGAAGCAGCCCCGGCUAACUCUGUGCCAGCAGCCGCGGUAAGACAGAGGGGGCAAGCGUUGUCCGGAGUUACUGGGCGUAAAGGGCGCGCAGGCGGUGGGCUGCGUCGGCGCUGAAAGCGCCCCGCUUAACGGGGCGAGGUGCGCCGAUACGAGUUCACUCGAGGCAAGCAGAGGGUGGCGGAAUUCCGGGUGGAGCGGUGAAAUGCGUAGAGAUCCGGAGGAACGCCGGUGGGGAAGCCGGCCACCUGGGCUUGACCUGACGCUGCGGCGCGACAGCGUGGGGAGCAAACCGGAUUAGAUACCCGGGUAGUCCACGCCGUAAACGAUGCCGGCUGGGCGUCUGGCGCACGUUAGUGUGCUGGGUGCCUUAGCUCACGUGGUAAGCCGCCGCUGU
rnacentral:rRNA from 1 species